rnacentral:rRNA from 1 species
UACGUAGGGUGCAAGCGUUGUCCGGAAUUAUUGGGCGUAAAGAGCUCGUAGGCGGUUCGUCGCGUCGGCUGUGAAAUCCCGGAGCUCAACUCCGGGUCUGCAGUCGAUACGGGCGGACUCGAGUUCGGCAGGGGAGACUGGAAUUCCUGGUGUAGCGGUGAAAUGCGCAGAUAUCAGGAGGAACACCGGUGGCGAAGGCGGGUCUCUGGGCCGAUACUGACGCUGAGGAGCGAAAGCGUGGGGGAGCGAACAGG